rnacentral:rRNA from 1 species
UAGGGAAUCUUCGGCAAUGGACGAAAGUCUGACCGAGCAACGCCGCGUGAGUGAAGAAGGUUUUCGGAUCGUAAAACUCUGUUGUUAGAGAAGAACAAGGACGUUAGUAACUGAACGUCCCCUGACGGUAUCUAACCAGAAAGCCACGGCUAACUACGUGCCAGCAGCCGCUGUAAUACGAAGGUGGCAAGCGUUGUCCGGAUUUAUUGGGCGUAAAGCGAGCGCAGGCGGUUUCUUAAGUCUGAGGUGAAAGCCCCCGGAUCAACCGAGGGGGGUCAUUGGAAACUGGGAGACUUGAGGGCAGAAGAGGAGGGUGGAAUUCCAUGUGUAGCGGUGAAAUGCGUAGAUAUAUGGAGGAACACCAGUGGCGAAGGCGGCUCUCUGGUCUGUAACUGACGCUGAGGCUCGAAAGCGUGGGGAGCAAACAGG